rnacentral:rRNA from 1 species
UACGUAGGGUGCAAGCGUUGUCCGGAAUUAUUGGGCGUAAAGAGCUCGUAGGCGGUUUGUCGCGUCGAAUGUGAAAACCCGGGGCUCAACCCCGGGCCUGCAUUCGAUACGGGCAGACUAGAGUUCGGUAGGGGAGUCUGGAAUUCCUGGUGUAGCGGUGAAAUGCGCAGAUAUCAGGAGGAACACCGAUGGCGAAGGCAGUGGUCUGGGCCGGUACUGACGCUGAGGAGCGAAAGCGUGGGGAGCGAACAGG